UACGUAGGUGGCAAGCGUUGUCCGGAAUUAUUGGGCGUAAAGCGCGCGCAGGCGGUCCUUUAAGUCUGAUGUGAGAGCCCACGGCUCAACCGUGGAGGGUCAUUGGAAACUGGGGGACUUGAGUGCAGAAGAGGAAAGCGGAAUUCCACGUGUAGCGGUGAAAUGCGUAGAGAUGUGGAGGAACACCAGUGGCGAAGGCGGCUUUCUGGUCUGUAACUGACGCUGAGGCGCGAAAGCGUGGGGAGCAAACAGG
rnacentral:rRNA from 1 species